rnacentral:rRNA from 1 species
CGCCUGUUUAUCAAAAACAUGUCUUNCGUACUACUUAUUUAAGGUCUGGUCGGCCCAAUGAUUUUUUUAAUGGCCGCAGUAUUUUAACUGUGCAAAGGUAGCAUAAUCAUUUGUCUUUUAAUUAAAGGCUUGAAUGAAUGGCUGGACAAAGGAUUUACUUUCUUUUUUAUAAAAGUUGAAUUUAAUUUUUUAGUUAAAAAGCUAAAAUUUUUUUAAAAGACGAGAAGACCCUUUAGAACUUUAUUUAAUAUAUAUUUUAAUGAAUAUAUAUUAAAUUUUAUUGGGGUGAUAGAGGAAUUUUAAUAACUUCUUUUAAUUAAUAAAUCAUUAAUUUAUGUUCUUUUGAUCCAAUUUUUUUGAUUAUAAGAUAAAGUUACCUAAGGGAUAACAGCGUAAUUUUUUUGGAGAGUUCAUAUCGAUAAAUAAGUUUGCGAACCUCGAUGUUGGAUUAAAAUUAMUAUUACGAGGAGAUUUUUACUUACUGGGUCUGUUCGACCUUUAAUUUUUUACAUGAUCUGAGUUCAAACCGGAG